rnacentral:rRNA from 1 species
GACGAACGCUGGCGGCGUGCUUAACACAUGCAAGUCGAACGGAAAGGCCCUGCUUUUGUGGGGUGCUCGAGUGGCGAACGGGUGAGUAACACGUGAGUAACCUGCCCUUGACUUUGGGAUAACUUCAGGAAACUGGGGCUAAUACCGGAUAGGAGCUCCUGCUGCAUGGUGGGGGUUGGAAAGUGUCGGCGGUUGGGGAUGGACUCGCGGCUUAUCAGCUUGUUGGUGGGGUAGUGGCUUACCAAGGCUUUGACGGGUAGCCGGCCUGAGAGGGUGACCGGCGACAUUGGGACUGAGAUACGGCACAGACUCCUACGGGAGGCAGCAGUGGGGAAUAUUGCACAAUGGGCGGAAGCCUGAUGCAGCAACGCCGCGUGCGGGAUGACGGCCUUCGGGUUGUAAACCGCUUUCGCAUGUGACGAAGAGUGAGUGACGGUAAUGGGUAAAGAAGCACCGGCUAACUACGUG